rnacentral:lncRNA from 1 species
UUGGCUGAUCAUAAAAAAAAAAGGUAUAAAGACGCAUACUUUUCAGAGUGACUUAUAUUUGGUUAAGCAUCUACUUUUCUUAAAAAUUUAUGUAAAAUAUCUAUUAUACCCUUAAAAUUAGAUACAAUAUUUUCACUUACCAUAAUUGGAAGUCUUGGAGGUGGCUGCACAUAUUUCAAACUAUUUGAAGAGACCCUGAUCCAUUUUAGCAUGAUGGCUUAAGAGCACUUUUGAAAAAAAUAAAAAAAUCACAAUUUUGGAAAAGAGGCUUUCUUGUAUCCUUCAUGGAUUUUUUUUUCAUAAAAUAUGAUUGAUCGUACUUCCUCCAUUAUUUUUUCUGCCAACCAAACAAGUCCUUUUAUCAUUAAGAAAAAAAAUAUGAUUGAUGUGUCUUCACCUGAUUCAGUCACGGGUGUAGUAUCGAGGGAGCUAUUGCCUGAAGUAGCAGCAAAAUAAUUGGACUGGAAUGAAGUCAUCAUCUGGCGGCAUACAUUGGAUAGAAAAAGGUUAAAGAGCAGCCGCCUUGAAGGUGAUCGAGGUGUUACUUACCCACGUGAAUGGUAUAAACAUUAGCAAGAGUCAAGACCUUCGGCAAAAUCGGGAAUUACGGAUAAAGGUCCA